UACGAAGGGGGCUAGCGUUGCUCGGAAUUACUGGGCGUAAAGCGCACGUAGGCGGCUUCUUAAGUCGGUGGUGAAAUCCUGGAGCUCAACUCCAGAACUGCCUUCGAUACUGGAGAGCUCGAGUCCGGGAGAGGUGAGUGGAACUGCGAGUGUAGAGGUGAAAUUCGUAGAUAUUCGCAAGAACACCAGUGGCGAAGGCGGCUCACUGGCCCGGUACUGACGCUGAGGUGCGAAAGCGUGGGGAGCAAACAGG
rnacentral:rRNA from 1 species